rnacentral:rRNA from 1 species
UAGGGAAUCUUCCGCAAUGGGCGAAAGCCUGACGGAGCAACGCCGCGUGAGUGAUGAAGGUCUUCGGAUCGUAAAACUCUGUUAUUAGGGAAGAACAAAUGUGUAAGUAACUAUGCACGUCUUGACGGUACCUAAUCAGAAAGCCACGGCUAACUACGUGCCAGCAGCCGCGGUAAUACGUAGGUGGCAAGCGUUAUCCGGAAUUAUUGGGCGUAAAGCGCGCGUAGGCGGUUUUUUAAGUCUGAUGUGAAAGCCCACGGCUCAACCGUGGAAGGUAAUUAGAAACUGGAAAACGUGAGUGCAGAAGAAGAAAGUGGAAGUCCAUGUGUAGCGGUGAAAUGCGCAGAGAUAUGGAGGAACACCAGUGGCGAAGGCGACUUUCUGGUCUGUAACUGACGCUGAUGUGCGAAAGCGUGGGGAUCAAACAGG